rnacentral:rRNA from 1 species
UACGUAGGGGGCUAGCGUUGUCCGGAAUCAUUGGGCGUAAAGCGCGUGUAGGCGGUCCGGUAAGUCCGCUGUGAAAGUCGAGGGCUCAACCCUCGAAUGCCGGUGGAUACUGUCGGGCUAGAGUACGGAAGAGGCGAGUGGAAUUCCUGGUGUAGCGGUGAAAUGCGCAGAUAUCAGGAGGAACACCGGUGGCGAAGGCGGUUCUCUGGGCAUGAUCUGACGCUGAGGAGCGAAAGUGUGGGGAGCGAACAGG